rnacentral:rRNA from 1 species
UCAUUACUGAGUGAGGGCCCUCUGGGUCCAACCUCCCACCCGUGUUUAUUGUACCUUGUUGCUUCGGUGCGCCCGCCUCACGGCCGCCGGGGGGCUUCUGCCCCCGGGUCCGCGCGCACCGGAGACACUAUUGAACUCUGUCUGAAGAUUGCAGUCUGAGCAUAAACUAAAUAAGUUAAAACUUUCAACAACGGAUCUCUUGGUUCCGGCAUCGAUGAAGAACGCAGCGAAAUGCGAUAACUAAUGUGAAUUGCAGAAUUCAGUGAAUCAUCGAGUCUUUGAACGCACAUUGCGCCCCCUGGUAUUCCGGGGGGCAUGCCUGUCCGAGCGUCAUUGCUGCCCUCAAGCACGGCUUGUGUGUUGGGCUCCGUCCCCCCGGGGACGGGUCCGAAAGGCAGCGGCGGCACCGAGUCCGGUCCUCGAGCGUAUGGGGCUUUGUCACCCGCUCUGUAGGCCCGGCCGGCGCCAGCCGACAACCAAUCAUCCUUUUUUCAGGUUGACCUCGGCAGGUAGGGAUACCCGCUGAACUUAAGCAUAUCAAUAA